CACGGGUGAGUAACACGUAUCCAACCUGCCGUCUACUCUUGGACAGCCUUCUGAAAGGAAGAUUAAUACAAGAUGGCAUCAUGAGUCCGCAUGUUCACAUGAUUAAAGGUAUUUCCGGUAGACGAUGGGGAUGCGUUCCAUUAGAUAGUAGGCGGGGUAACGGCCCACCUAGUCAACGAUGGAUAGGGGUUCUGAGAGGAAGGUCCCCCACAUUGGAACUGAGACACGGUCCAA
rnacentral:rRNA from 1 species